rnacentral:rRNA from 1 species
UACAGAGGCCUCGAGCGUUAGGCGGAAUCACUGGGCUUAAAGCGUGUGUAGGUGGAUGCCUAAGUGCCUUGUGAAAUCCCACGGCUUAACCGUGGAAUUGCUGGGCAUACUGGGUGUCUUGAGCCACUCAGGGGCUACCGGAACAAAUGGUGGAGCGGUGAAAUGCGUAGAUAUCAGGAGGAACACCGGUGGCGAAGGCGGAUCUCUGGGCCUUACCUGACGCUCGAGGUGCGAAAGCUAGGGGAGCGAACAGG